GUUUGACACUUCAAGCUUUCAGACUACUGAACAGUGACCAUGUUUACUGUUGUCUUCAUUGUAUUUUCCCUGCUUAAGGAGAGUGUUGAUGCAAAUACAAUAGAAUCUCUCUUACCAGAACAGCAUGUUUCAGUUGGACAAAGUGCUGUUAUCUCUUGCAAAUACAGUGGCAUUGGGCCCAGAUUUCAGUGGUACCGCCAAUAUCCAGGAUCCAGACCAGAGUACCUUAUUUUUAAUGCAGAGACUUCUGUUUCUUCCGAACCCACUUUACGUCUCAAAGCGCAGGCUAAAAAAGAAAUCACAGAAGUGGAACUGGAGAUCUCCUCUACUGAAGUCAAAGACUCUGCUGUAUAUUACUGCGCCCUGGUGCCCACAGUGACAGGAAACCCACCUGCUCUGUACAAAAACUUAAAUACAUUAACACAUCUUGCAUUACACAAACAUUGUGACUCACCAGCUUUCAAUCAAGCACAAUAAAUCAAUGAUGACUGAUCAAUCAACUGUUUUUAUUUUUCCAAAUCUAAUGAAACACUGUUAGGUCUUUUGAUUUUUA